rnacentral:rRNA from 1 species
AGAGUUUGAUCCUGGCUCAGGAUGAACGCUGGCGGCGUGCUUAACACAUGCAAGUCGAACGAUGAUCUCCAGCUUGCUGGGGGGAUUAGUGGCGAACGGGUGAGUAACACGUGAGUAACCUGCCCUUGACUCUGGGAUAAGCCUGGGAAACUGGGUCUAAUACUGGAUACUACCUUCCCACGCAUGUGGUGUUGGUGGAAAGCUUUUGUGCUGCCCGAUCCCCCGC